GAUGAACGCUGGCGGCGUGCCUAAUACAUGCAAGUCGAGCGAACAGAGGAGGAGCUUGCUCCUCUGACGUUAGCGGCGGACGGGUGAGUAACACGUGGAUAACCUACCUAUAAGACUGGGAUAACUUCGGGAAACCGGAGCUAAUACCGGAUAAUAUAUUGAACCGCAUGGUUCAAUAGUGAAAGACGGUUUUGCUGUCACUUAUAGAUGGAUCCGCGCCGCAUUAGCUAGUUGGUAAGGUAACGGCUUACCAAGGCAACGAUGCGUAGCCGACCUGAGAGGGUGAUCGGCCACACUGGAACUGAGACACGGUCCAGACUCCUACGGGAGGCAGCAGUAGGGAAUCUUCCGCAAUGGGCGAAAGCUUGACGGAGCAACGCCGCGUGAGUGAUGAAGGUCUUCGGAUCGUAAAACUCUGUUAUUAGGGAAGAACAAAUGUGUAAGUAACUAUGCACGUCUUGACGGUACCUAAUCAGAAAGCCACGGCUAACUACGUG
rnacentral:rRNA from 1 species